GCCUCGGUACUCCAACGGUAGAGGACGGUCUCAAAAACCGUAUAGUGUCGGUUCGAAUCCGACUCGAGGCA
rnacentral:tRNA from 1 species